AUGCUACCGCCGCCGCUGCAAAGAAACAGCAUCAGGUGGGGCGAGGCGAGGCGAAUGCGACGGCCUUAUUUGUGCGUCGGCCGGCGGCAACGUUGCCCCACCAAGGAGGACUUGCUCUCUUCUCUUCUCUUCUCUUCUCUUCUUGGUGGAGGUGGAGCACCACACCGGGCAAAGGUUUGGUAUCCCCCUGUCCCCGUGCAAGUGCAACCUCCUCACACGCAGCAAGUACUAGCAAGUAGCAAGUGUGAUUCAGGAAGCAUCCUCCUGAUGCGAUGCGAUGCGAUGCCUGGACAAAGCUUUGGCUCUCAGCUAAACCAGCUGAAAGCAAGGGAGAAAUCUCAUCCUGGGCUACCUCAUCCUCAUCGGCACCGCUAUGGUGCUGCACUGCUGCUUUCUGCGACAAGGAUAAAUCGCGGCACGCCCUUUGUGGCUGUCCAAGCGUUGGCAAGCACCGCUCCAGGUUCAAAACUUGAGGUAACCAUGCAUGUGCCUCACCGUCGUCAAUGUCAGUCACUGAUGAGUGAUGAUAGAGAAGCUGUGCAGUGA
rnacentral:rRNA from 1 species